rnacentral:rRNA from 1 species
AGAACGAACGCUGGCGGCAGGCCUAACACAUGCAAGUCGAACGCCCGUAGCAAUACGGGAGUGGCAGACGGGUGAGUAACGCGUGGGAACGUACCUUUCGGUUCGGAAUAACCCGGGGAAACUCGGGCUAAUACCGGAUACGUCCGCAAGGAGAAAGAUUUAUCGCCGAAAGAUCGGCCCGCGUCGGAUUAGCUAGUUGGUGAGGUAACGGCCCACCAAGGCGACGAUCCGCAGCUGGUCUGAGAGGAUGAUCAGCCACACUGGGACUGAGACACGGCCAGACUCCUACGGGAGGCAGCAGUGGGGAAUAUUGGACAAUGGGCGAAAGGCCUGGAUCCAGCCAUGCCGCGUGAGUGAAGAAGGCCUUAGGGUGUAAAGCUCUUUCGAGCGGGAAGAUAAGUGACGGUACCCGCAGAAGAAGUCCGCUAACUCGUGCCAGCAGCCGC